UACGUAGGGUGCGAGCGUUGUCCGGAAUUAUUGGGCGUAAAGGGCUCGUAGGCGGUUUGUCGCGUCGGAAGUGAAAACACGGGGCUUAACUCUGUGCUUGCUUUCGAUACGGGCAGACUAGAGGGAUGCAGGGGAGAACGGAAUUCCGAGUGUAGCGGUGAAAUGACGUAGAUAUCUGAGGAACGAACCGGAGCCGGAGG
rnacentral:rRNA from 1 species